AAUGAACGUUGGCGGCGUGGAUUAGGCAUGCAAGUCGUACGCUUUAUGUAGCAAUACAUGAAGAGUGGCGUAAGGGAGAGUAAUGCAUGGUUAGCUACCCUGGGGACUGGGAUAGCGGCGGGAAACUGCCGGUAAUACCAGAUGACAUCUUCGGAUCAAACGUGUGAAUCGGCCCUAGGAGGUGACCAUGUCCUAUCAGCUAGUUGGCGGUGUAAGGGACCACCAAGGCUAAGACGGGUAUGGGGCGUGAGAGCGUGCCCCCACUCACUGGGACUGAGACACUGCCCAGACACCUACGGGUGGCUGCAGUCGAGAAUCUUCGGCAAUGGGCGCAAGCCUGACCGAGCGACGCCGCGUGCGGGAUGAAGGCCUUCGGGUUGUAAACCGCUGUCGUAGGGGAGGAAGGUCUGGUGUAUAGCCAGGCUUGACCGAUCCUAGGAGGAAGGGCCGGCUAAUCUCGUGCCAGCCGCCGCCGUAAAAC
rnacentral:rRNA from 1 species